rnacentral:RNase_P_RNA from 1 species
UGCUCUAUACAAUGUGAUCGCUCGGCCUUCAGGCCGAGAGGAAAGUCCGAACUCCUCAUGAGCUCUCGUAGUUCAUGAUCGUGAUAGUGGGUNNUAUACUAUCCCGACUUUGUCGGGAAAAACGUGAAAAGUGAACGGAUGUUUUUACGCUAUAGAUAAAAGCUACUGUUCUCAUCUUGAUAGCAAUAUCAAGAUGUGGUAAACCCUAUCUGGAGAAAGUGCCGUGUUUCCUGAUUCUAUCAGGAUUCAAAAAGUUAGCACGUGAAGAUUUCAUGAGUAAUCAUGAAACAAGAGAAAUGAUCACCAUCGUCUCUUUCGAGAGACGGGGUACAAAAUUCGGCUUAUUGUAUAGAGCAACAA